rnacentral:rRNA from 1 species
GCUUGCUCCCUGAUGUUAGCGGCGGACGGGUGAGUAACACGUGGGUAACCUGCCUGUAAGACUGGGAUAACUCCGGGAAACCGGGGCUAAUACCGGAUGGUUGUUUGAACCGCAUGGUUCAGACAUAAAAGGUGGCUUCGGCUACCACUUACAGAUGGACCCGCGGCGCAUUAGCUAGUUGGUGAGGUAACGGCUCACCAAGGCGACGAUGCGUAGCCGACCUGAGAGGGUGAUCGGCCACACUGGGACUGAGACACGGCCCAGACUCCUACGGGAGGCAGCAGUAGGGAAUCUUCCGCAAUGGACGAAAGUCUGACGGAGCAACGCCGCGUGAGUGAUGAAGGUUUUCGGAUCGUAAAGCUCUGUUGUUAGGGAAGAACAAGUGCCGUUCAAAUAGGGCGGCACCUUGACGGUACCUAACCAGAAAGCCACGGCUAACUACGUGCCAGCAGCCGCGGUAAUACGUAGGUGGCAAGCGUUGUCCGGAAUUAUUGGGCGUAAAGGGCUCGCAGGCGGUUUCUUAAGUCUGAUGUGAAAGCCCCCGGCUCAACCGGGGAGGGUCAUUGGAAACUGGGGAACUUGAGUGCAGAAGAGGAGAGUGGAAUUCCACGUGUAGCGGUGAAAUGCGUAGAGAUGUGGAGGAACACCAGUGGCGAAGGCGACUCUCUGGUCUGUAACUGA